GUGGUAAAAUAUGCUUCCUCUACUGAUCAAGGCAAAGCCGCUCCACAAGCUGUGGAAUCUUGCUCACGUGCCUUGGAAGAAUUCGAGGCGCUAGUACGUGGGUCAGUGCGUGAUCCAUCGUCGUCGUCCACCGAAGGCAUGAGGAGCAAAAUCAGUGUCGCUCUUCGAGCCUUAGACAACAUCUUGGACAUCGUGCCGCCGACCUUGAGAGUUCUCGCGGAUGCCUGACACCAAAAAGGAGGGAAGACAAUAUUUGAUCUUGUUGAGCAAGCAAGUGAUGAUACAGAGGAGUGCAAACUGGAGGGCUCUCCUGAUGCUGACAACCUUUCCCACGGCGAGAACAAGACGAUGGUCUAUGCGAUGGGCAGAUCUUGCAAGGUGCAGCAGGGGCGACCCCGUCAGCGAAGGCCGAACCAGGCACGGGGCCAGGAAGAACGAGCGGUGGUUCCAAAUCGCCGCCAACUGGAGCAGUAUGUGAUGAUGAUUUUCUUGUGCCUGCUCUUCUUUGCCUACAUAUGGGCGCCGAUCGAUAUGAGGUUGUUAGGCCAUUGCCCUUUAGCAUCCUAUUAGUAGUAGAACUUAUAUAUUUUGUUUACAUGUGCACAAUAUCGUCCUAUCCUCAUUAUGUAAAAGCAUAGGCCUGUAGAGGUCUGGACGUACAAUUUACAAGCACGUAUAUAU